GACAGGAGGCUUCAUAUUUGCAUUUUUAAAGCUUUGAAUUGACCAAUGUGAAGGAAGCAUGAGAUGUUUGCCGAAAAUAGAACGUUCUAAACGUACUCUCUCGCGCUCAGUCCGCUCAGCGUAUAAUGUCGGCUAGGGAAGCGUCAUUGACCGAGUGACCACUCCCCUGACCGAAUGGGCUCCGAAACAAGGUUCGACGCUAAAGACAAAAUCCAGCGGACCCAUCUGGCCAGUGUUGCGGUAGACACCGGUCCAUUAGGGUUCAUGUAAGAAGUCAGAAGGUGAUCCGUCGAAUGAGUUCGAAGGGGGUAGAGAUAUUGGUGUACCCUAUUAGCGUUCUGACCACGCGUAGUGUGGCGUCUGGCACAAAGCAUGGGUAUGACACUGAAGACCAAUCAGACUUAGUUCGUCUCGACAUGGUAAAGGUAACCCCGUCUGGUGUGAGAGAGAAACCAUCCAUAUCGCAAGCCCUAAUGUCCGCCACCGUCUAAAUGAGGCGAGGCAUAAUAAGAGGGCUACUUUGGCUGAAAGUUGCUUCGGUGACAAACAAGGAUUGUCCGGCCAUUCCCUAAGGAAUCUCAGCACCACAUCCACCUGCCAGAGGCGUGAAUAUUUGGGUGCAGGGAUCUCGACAAUUCGGCACCCCGCAGUAGUCGACAAACCAGUGUAUCUUGACCUACUGGUCUGCCCUGUACCGGAACGUGCG